rnacentral:rRNA from 1 species
UGGGGAAUAUUGCACAAUGGACGGAAGUUUGAUGCAGCGACGCCGCGUGGAGGGUGUAGGCCUUCGGGUUGUGAACUCCUUUUUCUCGCGAAAAAGGCACAGUUUUGGCUGUGUUGAUGGUAGUGGGGGAAGAAGCGCCGGCUAACUACGUGCCAGCAGCCGCGGUAAUACGUAGGGCGCGAGCGUUGUCCGGAUUUAUUGGGCGUAAAGAGCUCGUAGGUGGUUCGUCGCGGCUGUCGUGAAAGCCAGCAGCUUAACUGUUGGUCUGCGGUGGGUACGGGCGGGCUUGAGUGCGGUAGGGGGGACUGGAAUUCCUGGUGUAGCGGUGGAAUGCGCAGAUAUCAGGAGGAACACCGAUGGCGAAGGCAGGUCACUGGGCCGUUACUGACACUGAGGAGCGAAAGCGUGGGGAGCGAACAGG